rnacentral:tRNA from 1 species
GGAUCCUGCGGGACGGCGGGGCCGGCGCGCUCACCACGCGCGCGGUCGCUGCCGCCGCCGGGGUCCAGGCCCCGACGAUCUACC